rnacentral:tRNA from 1 species
GCCCUGAUAGUUAAGUGGUAUAACGGAUCCAUGGUAAGGAUCAAUUGCUAGUUCGAUUCUGGCUCGGGGCACCA